AACGAACGCUGGCGGCAGGCUUAACACAUGCAAGUCGAGCGCAUCCUUCGGGGUGAGCGGCAGACGGGUGAGUAACGCGUGGGAACGUACCCUUUCCUACGGAAUAGCUCCGGGAAACUGGAAUUAAUACCGUAUACGCCAUUAGGGGGCAAGAUUUAUCGGGGAAGGAUCGGCCCGGGUUGGAUUAGCUAGUUGGUGGGGUAAAGGCCUACCAAGGCGACGAUCCAUGGCUGGUCUGAGAGGAUGAUCAGCCACAUUGGGACUGAGACACGGCCCAAACUCCUACGGGAGGCAGCAGUGGGGAAUAUUGGACAAGGGGCGCAAGCCUGAUCCAGCCAUGCCGCGUGAGUGAUGAAGGCCUUAGGGUUGUAAAGCUCUUUCAGUAGGGAAGAUAAUGACGGUACCUACAGAAGAAGCCCCGGCUAACUUCGUGCCAGCCGCCGCGGUAA
rnacentral:rRNA from 1 species